rnacentral:lncRNA from 1 species
GAAAGGAGGAAGUGAGAAGAAAGAAACAGGGAAAUGACAGAGUGUUGCUCAGUUACCCAGGCUGGAGUGCAAUGGCAUGAUCUUGGCUCACUGCAGCCUCCACCUCCUGGGUUCAAGCGGUUCUCGUGCCUCAGUCUCCCAAGUAGCUGGGAUUACAGACGAAAUCUUGCUCUGUUGCCCAGGCUGGAGUGCGAUGGCAUGAUCUUGGCUCACGGCAAACUCCGCCUCCCUGGUUCAAGUGAUUCUCCUGCCUCAGCCUCCCGAGUAGCUGGGAUUACAGGCAUGUGCCACCAUGCCCCGUUGGCCAGGCUGGUCUCGAACACCUUACCUCAGGUGAUCCUCCCACCUUUGGGAUUACAGGCUGAGGAAUUACCAAGGAGGCAGGAGGUGGAGCAAAACACACCAAGCCUGAUGCCAAUCAUUGACAAUAUUAUGACCCUGCAUGUGAUGGAUCAGCUGACACCAUCCAGAUUGGUAAACUGGUUCGUCUGAUCUUGUGCCCUCCACCCAGGAACUGACUCAGCGCAAGAAGACAGCUUCGACUCCUUAUGAUUUCAUCCCUAACCAAUCAGCACUCCUGGCUCACUGGCUUCCCCCAACCCACCAAAUUGUCCUUAAAAACUCUGUUCUCCAAAUGCUGGGGGAGACUGAUUUGAGUAAUAAUAAAACUCUGGUCUCCUGCA